UAUCUAUCUAUCUAUCAUCUACCUUCUCAUUCUGAACUGUCCAUCUGCUCUGCAGAUAGCUUAAAAUGAAUAAAAUUAUCAGACAGAAGCAUGCAUAUUUUAUUUGUGCCCAAUCAUCCCAGAAAUUCUGAGAAAGAAUACAAGCACAUCUUUAUAGCUGGAUUUCUCAUGAAUAUCUGAUUUAAGGAUUGGGAUUAUGGUUAUAAAAGAUUUGGAACUAGGAGAAUAUAACAGAGGUGUGCAAAAUUCUGUGAUAGAGCUAUGGAAUUUUUAUUUCCCUUCAACACAUAUCGUUUUUUCCUCUGUUGCACUCAAACAGAAAAAUCUGAAUAUUCCUGGGUGGUGAAUUUAAUUCUGGAAGUGGAUUAUCCAAAAUUGGAAGUAACUGUAUAUUCUAGAUGCUGCCCAACUGCUCUUCUAUGGACAGUUCAUGAGUAGUUUCUGGUGAAUGCAAAAGUUCCAGUUCAAUCAAAAUCUUCCUUCUGGUACUGUAUACACAAAACUUUUUAAUAUUAAACAUGAGGAUGAAACCAACAACAAAUAUUUUAAGCUAUGUUACUGAGAAGCAAGAAUGCUGCAAAACUGAAUCUCCAGCAGCAAGAGGAUAAUUGGGGACAUGAAUAGUAGAAUGUAACAUGAAGUUCUCUUUAGCAGUGGCUGGUAUGAGAUCAAAUCUAUUUUAUUUAUUUGAAGACUGUAUAAAGCAAUAUAAUGCUAAUUAUAAAUUUAAAGGUCAAUAAAUAUUGAGAGUUAUUUCUUGAUAAUUACUCCAAUUACAAAGAAAUGGCAAUAAUGAAAACAGCUUCAUCUUUGUAUAUUCAUUUGUGCACAUGGAGUUUCUGAAAUAUCACAACAUUAAAGCUAUGAUUCAUGUUCCAAAACUGCAUGUACUUAUUUAACAUCCUGAUUAAAGGAACUCGAGUGCUUUCACCGUAUUUUGUCAAUAUGCAUGCAAAUCUGAAAUUCAUAAAUCCCACUUUCAACCAUCAUUGCUUUACCCAAAUUAACUAAGAGAUAAGUGCAAGUUAAUCAUUGAAUAUACAUCCACAGAAUUUUCAAUGUGAAUUAACACAAACUCAGCAAAACAUAAAAGUGAAUAUAUUUUAAGUAUAUUUUUUCACUAGAAGGCAUAACACACAAAUGCCCUUUGUAUCAAUGUUUGUGCUUUUUAUGUUGCACAAAGCACGAUUCCUUACAGGCUGCAGAAGUGAGUGUUGUGCAGAUGGGUGGAAGGAUUGGAAAGAGCUUUCAAAGAAAGAUUGAUUUAUGAAGCACUUAGUAAAUUCACAGAACAGCCAAAAAAGCGUUUUACUCUAUAUUAAUCCAAAUCAGCUUUGGUGGUGAAUUUCCCACAACAGUAACCCAGUGAGAAUCUUUUGCUGGUGAAGGAACCUUUCUGGUUUUCUCCUAUGCUGUUCAGAACACAACUAGUAUAGAACUAACAAUAGGAAGGGAAGCAUAGCAAAGACAGAACAACAAUUUUGGAAGGACCACACCCACAGAGGCAGGAUGGAACCGCUUAAAAGCAUAUGUCUUCCACUGCUAAGAGAGGAGGACAAUCCCUCAUUAAACCUGGUACUUUAACCUUUGCACCAAACUCUUCCUCCAUUUUGAGAAUAUUAUUUAUUUAUGAAGGAAUUAAAAUACAAGGCAAAGCAGGCUAUAACUCCUGCCUUAACCAUAACUCCACC